rnacentral:lncRNA from 1 species
GUCAAUCUGCAUUGGCUUCCUUCAAGCCGUGGUACCACUUUAACAUUUCUUGAUUGACAAUUUGCAUUAUGUCCUCAAUUAGCUUCUGAAAGUUCCAUUGGAUCUUGCAUUGACAAACUAUCAUUUGCACAACAAUUAGUGAAUCUAGUUUUUUAAGUUGCAUCACGACAGUCCAUACAAAGUUGCUUGUAUUUCACUUGAG